UACGUAGGGUCCAAGCGUUGUCCGGAAUUAUUGGGCGUAAAGAGCUCGUAGGCGGUGUGUCGCGUCGGAUGUGAAUGCCCGGGGCUUAACCCCGGGUCUGCAUUCGGUACGGGCAUGCUGGAGUUCGGUAGGGGAGACUGGAAUUCCUGGUGUAGCGGUGAAAUGCGCAGAUAUCAGGAGGAACACCGGUGGCGAAGGCGGUUCUCUGGGCAUGUCCUGACGCUGAGGAGCGAAAGUGUGGGGAGCGAACAGG
rnacentral:rRNA from 1 species